GAUGAACGCUGGCGGCGUGCUUAACACAUGCAAGUCGAACGGUGAAGCAGGAGCUUGCUCUUGUGGAUCAGUGGCGAACGGGUGAGUAACACGCGAGCAACCUGCCCCUGACUCUGGGAUAAGCGCUGGAAACGGCGUCUAAUACUGGAUAUGUGAUGUGACCGCAUGGUCUGCAUCUGGAAAGAAUUUCGGUUGGGGAUGGGCUCGCGGCCUAUCAGCUUGUUGGUGAGGUAAUGGCUCACCAAGGCGUCGACGGGUAGCCGGCCUGAGAGGGUGACCGGCGACACUGGGACGGAGACACGGCCCAGACUCCUACGGGAGGCAGCAGUGGGGAAUAUUGCACAAUGGGAGGAAGCCUGAUGCAGCAACGCCGCGUGAGGGAUGACGGCCUUCGGGUUGUAAACCUCUUUUAGCAGGGAAGAAGCGAAAGUGACGGUACCUGCAGAAAAAGCACCGGCUAACUACGUGCCAGCCGCCGCCGUAA
rnacentral:rRNA from 1 species